UACGUAGGGUGCAAGCGUUAAUCGGAAUUACUGGGCGUAAAGCGUGCGUAGGCGGUUUUGUAAGACUGUCGUGAAAUCCCCGGGCUCAACCUGGGAAUGGCGAUGGUGACUGCAAGGCUAGAGUUUGGCAGAGGGGGGUAGAAUUCCACGUGUAGCAGUGAAAUGCGUAGAUAUGUGGAGGAACACCGAUGGCGAAGGCAGCCCCCUGGGUCAAAACUGACGCUCAUGCACGAAAGCGUGGGGAGCAAACAGG
rnacentral:rRNA from 1 species